UUGAGUAGUGUGCAACGCGCCUCUUUCAUUGCCUGCGAGUGAGAGCGAGCACAUGCGCCUUGUGACUGACGCACUCCGCUGACAUCAUUCCACAUCUCACCAUCUGAGCCACACAGAUGACUCCGAGAAGAGAGAGGGACAGGAAAACACGUGCUUUCUGAGAAGCACUACGAUGAUGACAAACCCUGCAGAGGCAAACAUGUCAAGAGACUC
ensembl:lncRNA